rnacentral:rRNA from 1 species
AUUGAACGCUGGCGGCAGGCCUAACACAUGCAAGUCGAACGAGUGGCGGACGGGUGAGUAAUGUCUGGGAAACUGCCCGAUGGAGGGGGAUAACUACUGGAAACGGUAGCUAAUACCGCAUACCAUCGGAUGUGCCCAGAUGGGAUUAGCUAGUAGGUGGGGUAACGGCUCACCUAGGAGACGAUUCCUAGCUGGUCUGAGAGGAUGACCAGCCACACUGUAACUGAUACACGGUCCAGACGCCUACGGUAGGCAGCAGUGGGGAAUAUUGCAUAAUGGGCGCAAGCCUGAUGCAGCCAGGCCGGGUGUAUUAAGAAGGCCUUCGGGUUUUAAAGUACUUUCAGCGAGGAGGCGUUACUCGCAGAAUAAGCCCCGGCUAACUCCGUGCCAGCAGCCGCGGUAAUUC